rnacentral:rRNA from 1 species
AGAGUUUGAUCAUGGCUCAGAACGAACGCUGGCGGCGUGCUUAACACAUGCAAGUCGAGUGCGCGUUCCGUAGCAAUACGGAAUGGCGCACGGCGCACGGGUGCGUAACACGUGGGCAAUCUGCCCUUUCGAUGGGGAAUAACUCCGGGAAACCGAAGCUAAUUCCGCAUAACAUUCCUUGGACUGCGGUUCGAGGACUCAAAGCCGUAAGGCGUCGAAGGAGGAGCCCGCGCACGAUUAGCUAGUUGGUAGGGUAACGGCCUACCAAGGCUUUGAUCGUUAGCUGGUCUGAGAGGAUGGCCAGCCACACUGGAACUGAGACACGGUCCAGACUCCUACGGGAGGCAGCAGUGGGGAAUCUUGCACAAUGGGCGAAAGCCUGAUGCAGCGACGCCGCGUGGGGGAUGAAGCAUUUCGGUGUGUAAACCCCUUUCGACCCGGACGAAUGCCUCGCAAGAGGAGUGACGGUACGGGUAUAAGAAGCCCCGGCUAACUACGUGCCAGCAGCCGCGGUAAGACGUAGGGGGCCAGCGUUGUUCGGAAUUACUGGGUGUAAAGGGUUCGUAGGCGGUGUGGCAAGUUGGGAGUGAAAUCUCUGGGCUCAACCCAGAGGCUGCUUCCAAAACUGCCAUGCUUGAGUGUGGGAGAGGCGCGUGGAAUUGCAGGUGUAGCGGUGAAAUGCGUAGAUAUCUGCAGGAACACCCGUGGCGAAAGCGGCGCGCUGGACCACAACUGACGCUGAGGAACGAAAGCUAGGGGAGCAAACAGGAUUAGAUACCCUGGUAGUCCUAGCCCUAAACGAUCAGGACUUGGGGUGCCGCACGUUCGUGCGUCGUCCCGGAGCUAACGCGUUAAGUCCUGCACCUGGGGAGUACGGUCGCAAGACUGAAACUCAAAGGAAUUGACGG